rnacentral:lncRNA from 1 species
GGCGCAGACACAAAGGCAAACAAUCCCAAACACAGGCUUUGCCCUCCUUGUACGUUGAGACAAAGGAAGCAGAAAUGAGCCUGGGAUCACAGUCUGCGCUGAGCAGCAUGGAGCAAACAGGGCGUCCCCUUCUCAGUGACAGAGGGACUUGGGCUGACCAACCGUCUUGGCUUCCCUGGGACUGUCCCAGCUCAGCACUGAAAAUCUCAUGCCGAUGAAAACCCCCGCAGGCCUGGGCAGAUGGGAACCUUGGUCACUCUUGCAGAAACUUGAGUCAGAAAUAAAGCAACUUCUCCCAGGCCAUGUGGAAAAGCCAUGUGUGAACCAGAGGAACAAGUACAACAGAGCCGCUGAGUACACCCCAACACAGAGGAGCCAGCGCUCACCGAGAGAUUUGCCAAGUGGAGUCCUUUUGAGACAUCCAAAUUUCACUGUCUUCAACUUAUUAAUGUGAAACAAAGAAUAACGUAUAUGUGUGUGUAAACACGAAUAGUAACAGCUUAUAUUUGUAAACAAUGUGCCGUGCGCCCAGCACUACAUUAAGCAGUCUCCAUGCAGCACCUCCAUUAAUCCUGGGGAGCACUGUACCCACUUCAAGAGGCCUUUAGAAGAGCAAGUAACAAAAACUGGUGGAAAAAAAGCACACAUUCAACAGGAAGCAACAUCUAGAGACCUUUCUGCCUUCCAGGAUACAAAAAGAAAACAGUUCAUAAACAACUUACAUCUAAACCAGUAAUGUUGUCUCCCUGGCUCAUAGGAGCUGAAGAAGAAUUCCAGUUACUGUAGUAAGAAUAUAAGGAUGUGGACUGGUUUGAGGAUGCUUGAGGCAUGACUAUAGCAAGUACUGCGCAUACAUAUGUGGACAUCGUAAGACACACUCUCUGCUUCCCCAGGCGAAAUCUGUAAUGCUUUGUUUAUUCAUGUUCUAUUCUGCGUUUCCAUGGCACUUUGUUCUUUGUGGUUUUUAGGGUAUCUUUCUCCCUCUCUGCUCAGUGAACUGAGCUGCCUGGACAGGCCUUGAGUUUUCUUAUUCGAUUGUUUUUUGUGUGUGUAUGUUUUGCCUUAGCUCCCUCACUAGUAUAGUCAAGGAGCUUUUCAUGCUUUGAGCCAUUUGUGGCAUUUCAGGAAUUACCUUCAUAGCUUUUGUCCAUUUUCUACUGGCUUGUCUUUUUCAAUGUUUUUAUAGGCAUUUUUUAAAAAACACAGUGUGGAUGUCAUUUGGGAUAGCAGUACUAAUAGUAGCUAAAACUUACUGAAAGCUACUGUGUGCCAGGCAGUCUGCUGAGCACUUUACAUGCUGCCUUUCAUUUUUACACUCAUUUAGGAAACUGAGUCACAGAGAGGCGAGAUAACUUGCCAGAGAUUCAAGCACACUCCAGACACAUCCCUACACCAAUCAGACCUCCUAGCCACCCAGAAACUCUCCUCUGCUCGGAGGCUUCUCUGCUUCCUCCACCUGCCCCUUCGCCUCACUGCCUCCUUUCAAAAUCUGCGGCAUGUAUUUUAGGGAUACUCGUAUCCAUUUUCAGGAAUUCCAUGAUCUACACACAGAUGACACCAAAAUCGGAACAGCAAUGUCCACCCUUCUCCCGAGCCCUAGGUCGGUGCCUCUGUCCACCUGUGUCUCCUGAAACUUCAACACAGACUUCAAAUGGAGUGGCAGAAAACCAGAUUCCUUAGGGAAAGGAAGGUCUCCCAGACGGCAGGAGCGGCAGGCCUUAGGGGCAGCCGCAGGGGCUCGGGAGUCUGAACAUACCCGGUUUGAAUUCAGACUCUGGCACGCCCCAUGCGAUCAUAACAUAGUGCUGCACGUCUCAAGCCACCUAUAAAAACGGGGACAAUAACAAUAUCUGCCUCGGGGUUAAUGGAUUAGAUGUGUCGGUCCAUAGACGUUGCUGGCCACAUAGUUAAGUGGUGCGUUCACUCACUGGGCAUUGAUGGAGCGCCUACUACGUGCCAGGCCUGUUUUACGCGCCGGGGGCCCAGAGGCGCCCAGGUCAGACAAAGUGUAAACGAUUCCGACCAGAGCCCUUCAAUCUGCAUUCCGCUUCGCAGGAAACUCUCCUCCUUUUAUGAUUUUCAGCCGGACUGCCUUCCCUGUUGUUAGUUUGUAACUUUCGCUCCGGCCCCCGCAGCCUCGCGCCUGCCUUCCCUCCACUGUCCUCAGCCAAGGUGUAGUAAAGCGUCUCCGAACGCGGCGCGACCCUCGCCCACGCCCGCUCGCG